rnacentral:rRNA from 1 species
UACGUAGGGCGCAAGCGUUGUCCGGAAUUAUUGGGCGUAAAGAGCUCGUAGGUGGCUUGUCGCGUCUGCCGUGAAAGUCCGGGGCUCAACUCCGGAUCUGCGGUGGGUACGGGCAGACUAGAGUGAUGUAGGGGAGACUGGAAUUCCUGGUGUAGCGGUGAAAUGCGCAGAUAUCAGGAGGAACACCGAUGGCGAAGGCAGGUCUCUGGGCAUUAACUGACGCUGAGGAGCGAAAGCAUGGGGAGCGAACAGG